rnacentral:lncRNA from 1 species
UUGCUACCACUACUACAACUGAUGAUAACAACUCUCAGCAGUUGCCCCUCCAACCCUUCGAUGCCGUGGCGUCAGAUGAUUCUUCUAGUCAUAGUAGGUUGCAGCAGGGUGUACGGAAUGUUACCAAUGGGGUUUCAACAUCUGGGUAUGUAAAAUAUGAUAAUCUUGUUACGAUUAGCUUGAAUGUUUUGUCAAAGAAUGAGGUGAGAGGUUUGAAGGGGAAGCUAGUGAACUUGAACAAGUUCGGGAUUUAGUUAAGAAAUUUGAAGGUAAAGAAAGUAGGCUUAGUGGGGGAUAUGCGAAUUCUCGGGUUUCGGGGAAUGAGAAUGUUGAUAGAGGUGGUGGGUGUUUAGUUAGAGUGAACUCGGAUGUCGGUUCUGUAGGAUUGCCUAGUUCCAGGUCUUUUCAUGGGUUACCUAUGUCAAUGGCAGAGCAUGAUCUUUGUAACGAUGAUGAUGGUGGUGGAAGCGAGUUUGCGGGGAUAAAGAAGAGAAACCCGAAGGCAAAUCCGUAUUAUAAGAAUCCAGAGUUUGCUUUAGGGAUAAAGAAGUUGAAGCCUAGGGAGAGUAAUAAGAAGAUGAAGCCGACCGUUGCGAAGAGUAACGGUGAUCAAAUGGGAGGUGGGAUUGCAUCGGAGAAGUUUUCAAAUCGGUUGUUGAAGAGAUGUAGUAAUUUGUUGGGGAAGUUAAUGAAACAUAAGUUUGGUUGGGUGUUUAAUAAACCGGUGGAUGUGAAGGGACUUGGGUUGCAUGAUUAUUAUACAAUUGUUAAGCAUCCUAUGGAUUUGGGCACGGUGAAGACUAGGUUGAAACAAGAAUUGGUACAAGUCACCUAUGAGUUUGCAGAGGAUGUGAGACUAACUUUCAAUAAUGCAAUGCUUUAUAACCCAAAAGGACAGGAUGUACAUUUUAUGCUAGAAAAAUUGUUGGAGAUAUUUGAAGAAAACUGGGCAGCUAUAGAGUCCGAGUAUAAUCUUAAUAGGAGUUUUGAAAGGACUCACGAUUAUAGUUUGCCAACUCCCCCUUCAAAGAAAAUUCCUGCUCUGGCUCCAGCUUCAGCUCCGAUUCAAGCUCCUCCUACUUCAUCGCUAUCAUUAGAAGCUAGGACUUUGGAGAGACCAGGAUCCAAGGCAAUGCUGGAUGAUCCCAAGUCCAGAGAUGUUGACUUGACUCCUACUGGUAGGAUUGCAGUACCAAAGGAACCCAAGGCAAAGGAUCCUGAUAAGAGGGAUAUGACUUAUGAUGAAAAACAGAGACUCAGUGUAAACCUCCAGAACUUGCCUUCGGAGAAACUUGAUAGCAUUGUCCAGAUUAUUAAGAAGAGGAACCCAGCACUUUUCCAGCAAGAAGAUGAGAUCGAGGUGGAUAUUGACAGUUUUGAUCCAGAAACACUUUGGGAACUUGAUAGAUUUGUGACCAACUAUAAGAAUAGUUUGAGCAAACACAAGAGAAAAGCUGAAGUUGCACAUCAAGCAAAUGCUGAAAAUGAUCAUGAUAUUCAGGAGAUUGUAAGAUGAUGAACAAGUGAUUUUGAAACACCUAACUGUUCUCCCUGUUUUGAAUUGUUGCUCACUGGAACAUGUUGUUGUUAUUCUUUUUGCAGAAUCCAGAACCACCUACUAAAGAGGUACCAAAAGUAGCUGAAACAGGUAAUUACC